rnacentral:rRNA from 1 species
CAGCCGCCGCGGUAAUACGUAGGGUGCGAGCGUUAAUCGGAAUUACUGGGCGUAAAGCGUGCGCAGGCGGUUGUGUAAGACAGGUGUGAAAUCCCCGGGCUUAACCUGGGAACUGCGCUUGUGACUGCACAGCUAGAGUAUGGCAGAGGGGGGUGGGAUUCCACGUGUAGCAGUGAAAUGCGUAGAGAUGUGGAGGAACACCGAUGGCGAAGGCAGCCCCCUGGGCCAAUACUGACGCUCAUGCACGAAAGCGUGGGGAGCAAACAGGAUUAGAUACCCCUGUAGUCCCUGUCUCUUAUAU